ACCAUUACUUCAAUGCAUUCAACUAAAUAAUGUCAAUUGAAAUAGUCAUAUUAUUAGUUAUUUAAACAAUAGAUUCAAACUCUUUUAAACGUUAUGCAUGAAUAAUAAAUGAUAGUGAACUAUCGUUAUGCUGCCAGAGAAUAAUAUAUUAUGUGCUUUCGCAACAUCAUAAUUGGCGGUCCAGGCGGCGGUGGUGGAAAUUGUUGUGCGCCCUGCGAGUAUUGCUGCCGCUGUUGUUGCCAGUGCUGCGUGCAAGUCCUCUGCAAGAUUUGUUGUUGCGUUUUGAUUGUCGCUUUAAUACUAGGCGCUCUUUAUUUGCUUGCCGAAGCCUUGAUCUGCCCCGAGCAGGAUGAAAAGAAACCUUGACAUUUCGAAAAUGAGAGUUGGCGCAACGUGUUUGUGAGUUCAGAAGCAUUGAACGUUGGGGCCCAGCUGGCUAUUUGUGUACUUGUUUUAGUAGUAGGCAUUUUUGCUUUACUAUUUUUGUUUGCCGCCGGCGUAAUAUAGCAUGCAUUGGCCAAAGAAACUCUUGGGUAUUAAAGAAACUCAGCGAGAAACGAAUUCGGACAACGUAGCUCUUCCACAAUCGACUAUUUGUGAAACUUGUGUUUUUUAUUGGACACUGUUUUAUUAUAAUUAUAUUUUAAUUAUGUAUGGACUGUUCUACAGAAGAAUAAAUUUUAUUUUGCAAACAAAGUUCUCGAUGUA